rnacentral:lncRNA from 1 species
CAGACUGAGAAAGCCAUGUGGAGCAAGCCAGUAAACAGCACUCCUCCACAGCCUCUGCAUCAGCUCCUGCUCCAGGUUCCUGCCUCAUGUGAGUUCUGUUCUGAUUUUCUUAACGUUGAACAGUGAUAAGGAAAUGUAAGCCAAACAAACCCUUUUCUCCCCAGGUUGUUUUGGUCAUGGUGUUUCAUCACAGCAAUAGUCACCCUAACCGAGACAAAUACGUAAUAUAUGUGAUCAUUGAUAAUUCAUAUUCAUUUUGUGCUAUAUGAGGCAAUCCAGAAAGGGGAAUUCAUUAGACAAACCAAGUUACAUCCCCUCCCCUGUUUUUGAGACGGGGUCUUACUAUGCAGUGCAGGUUGGCCUCCAGUCCAACAUCCUUCCGCUUCAAAACCAGGGGGGAGGCUCAUACUCCCAGUACGUGGGAGGUAGAGGCAGGCCGAUCUCUGAGUUUGAAGACAACUUGGGCUACAUAGCAAAUUCAAGACUAUAACUUAAAAAAAAAAAAAUCCUUCUUUUUCAGCCUCCCAAGUAGUGGGGUCACAGGUAGGUACCACUCCGCCCAAUGGGCAUGGAUAUUUUCAGACUCUAUUGUUUCUAACCCUCCUCUCUCCCGCUUACCACCUACUCCCCCAAAAUGCACAACCAUCACAGACUCUCUGUAAUCCUACUAUGACCUGUGUAAAGGCUUGUUAUUGGUUUAUUUAGAAAAACUCAGUAGUUCCUUAUUUAAAUAUCCUCAAUAAGCAAGAAUGAGUAGAACAGGUUUUAGGGAGGGAACGUUUGAGGAAGUAGAUGGGAGGAAAUGGUGAGCUUUUCCAAGUCUCAUAGUAAAGCAGAGAGACUGGAUGUUGGUAGUUCCUGCACAUUGACUCUAGUGAUGGCUUUAACCCAUUACAAAGGCUAAGACUUACAUUACUAAGCCACUGGUUAGCCUUUGAUCUGUGUGUGUGUGACUGUGUGUAUAGGUGUGAGUGUGCACGCGCGCGUGUAUAAAUUGAGCCCAGGGCCGCAUAUAAGCUGAGCUCUGAGCACAGGCUCUACCCUCAACUAUAUCCCUUUGUUCUGAUGUCAGUGUUUGCUGCUGAUCUGAUCAUUAAAUAAACAAAGCUGUGGUCAGGAAGGGCUGGGCUUGGACAGGAGUAUGAGGGUAGAUUAAUAGACCUUUCUAUGGUGAGAGAUAGAGUGCGAUCCCUUAGUCACAGACCAUCUGUCAAGGUGACGUGUAGCAUGGACAGCUUCUUAAUUUCCUGGUAGGAAGAUGGCAAGCUUAGGCGAGGGCAGAAGUGGGUUCGGCCUUGGACCCUCACAUCCUCAAGCUGUCUGAGCAAUUGUCAGUUCUCCAGGAAGAAAGGACAAGAGGAAAGGAAGCUCGACACAGAGAAAAAGAGAAUCGAUUGCUUGUGACUGUUUUGAGAAUUGGCUUCUAAAACUAGGCCGAGUCCAAAGGGGAAAUUACUAGGCAAACCCUGCUUACUGAGCUUCAUUCUUUCCAUCCACCCCCUUCUGCCUUUUAUGAGACAGGGUCUCACUAUGUAGCCCAGGUUAGCCUCUUGAUGAAAGAGCUGAAGGUUGUCUCAGAAUUGCUAGGAGCUAGCGUGACAGUAAUGUGACCUACAUAAAUUCUCUUAUGAGCUAGGUUCUGAAUGUUUAAACCAUAUUCAAUAUAAUACUAAUGUCAGAUAACAGAUUAAACUUAGAAACUAAAUUUAUCACAAUGGAAUAGACAAACUGUAAAAUUUUAUAGGUUUUCUUUCCUCCCACAGACUAGAGUCAUGAAAAAAUUAAUUUUUAAUUACAACAGUUAGUGUUGUUAUUACGUUACUAUGCUAUUUUCAGAGUUUAAUUUCCUUAAGAGAAUGCCUUAAGGCUGCAGAUAUAUUUCCUAGGGCACAACAUGUCUUUAUUGAAAAUAUUAUUUAAGGGGCUAGAGAGUUGGCUCACUAGUUAAGAGCACUUGUUGAUUUUGCAGAGGAUUCAGGUUUCAAUCCUGGCACCCACAUGGUGGCUCAUGACCAUCUGUGAACUCUAGUCCCAGGGGAUCUGACACCCUCUUUUGACCUCAGCAGGUACCAGGCACAUAUGUGGCACACAAACACACAUGCAGGGCUACCCCCUCCAAACCCAAUCAGAUAAAUAUAAAAUAAAUUUAUAUCUACCCCUGUGUGUAUGUGUGUGUACAUACAUAUGUGUGUGUAUGUAUGGUGUGUGUCUGUAUGUAUGGUGUGUGUGUGUGUGUAUGUGUAUAUAUGGUAUGUGUGUGCGUGUGUGAGUGCUUGUGUGUGUGUAGAUGUCAUAGAACAACUUCCCAGAGUUUUCCAUCAUGGGUUCUAUGAAUCUAUCUUAGGCCAUCAGGCAUGUGUGGCAAGCUCGUUUACUUCCUGAGCCUGCUCAGCAGUCCUGGGCACUCAGUCUGGACACAGAGAGAAAUUUGAUGUUAGGUUCUUAUUCUGGUAGGAAAUAUUUAAAAUGUAUGUGAAGAUGACACCUGUAUGCGGUGCUGACCUUUCUUCCCGAGUAGAAUAGCUCCUUUCUUCUUAUCAGCUCCAGUGACUCCAGGGACGAGACCGACUAUUUAUCCAUGAUAGGCAAUCACUGGGUUUUGAAUAAGCUGACAUUCUUAAGAAGUAGAAUUGGAAGGUCGUGCUCUGCCCCCCAAUCUUUCUUUUUUCAUGAGUGAGAAGCGGGCUCUGGGAGAAGGAAUGUCCUGGUCAGGUUUUUAGUCGUGGUUCUGAAAGUAUGCGUGGUCCAUCGCUCUACAAGGAAGCCUGCACUUGGCCUGCUGUGGGCUGUGGGUGCCAGCGUCGCGAUCCUUUGGAUGCGCACAUCUUUUCAGAACAGGCAUGAGUCUUAAAGCCUUUUACACUGCAGAGGGUUGUUUCUUUUCCACCUGGGCUUUGUUUCCUCUGUUGUGAGAUACCACGGUCAGAAGUCGCAGUGGUGUGAGGUGGAGUUCUGAGUUCGAGGCCAGCCUGGUCUACAGAGUGAGUUUUGGGACAACCAGGGACACACAGAGAAACCUUGUCUUGAAAAAAAAAAACCCGAACCAACC